CACCUCUGCUUCUUACUCUAUCCAUGAUAUAAAGAUUUAUGUAUUUCCCAAUCAGUAAUCUCAUGGACCUCUCUUUUUGUACUUCCCUCAGGUUCACUCAGAAUGAUGACAGUCCAUUUCUUUGAGACGCUCCUAAAGCCCUGGGGCUGCUAUGCAGAUGAGCAUGGCAACGUGAGAAUAUGUCAGCGGCCCGAAGAUGAAAUGAGUGUAACUCCCUGAAAUCCCUGUUAGAAGAGUCUUUCCACUGGUUGGGAACGCUAAUUGUAUUUUGACAACUCAGAAUGUUACAGCAACUCAGAAUGUUACAACUUCUGCAUUGGAAUAAAAAAAGGAAAACAGAAUUCCCACUCAAAUGUUUUGGCAAGGACUGCUUUGGAGCCAUUAUAAGAUGCCAUCAUAGUUGUGAGUAUUAUUUUCAUUCAUUCUCAAUUCUGUUCUCCUUCUAAUUGAUAGCAGUACUAUUUCCAAACAUGUUCUUUCAUUAAAGAGUUUAAAAACUGAUUACUGUUAUGUAAGGUGUAACUCUUCACAGGUGUACUUUGCAGUUGCUCACUUUCUGAUAAUAUACACAAAGUGUCAAAAUCCUCACACCCAGAUUAGAAAUUCUAGAAUUUAAGGAUUUUGUUUUAAAGCUACAGGGCUAUUCAUUUUCUUACUAAAUCAGUUAUGAC
rnacentral:lncRNA from 1 species